rnacentral:rRNA from 1 species
AAAGGCACCACAAGCGCGUGGAGCAUGUGGCUUAAUUUGACUCAACGCGGGAAAUCUUACCAGGUCCAGACAUAUGGAGGAUUGACAGACAGUUAACCAAAACGCAGCAGCUAGUUUAACAAAACUAACAGCUCUUUCAAGAUUAUGUGGUAGGUGGUGCAUGGCCGUUCUUAGUUCGUGAAGUGAUUCGUUCGCCCAAUCGCAUCUCCAAACAACUAACAACUCAGAAUGCUGGGCAAUAGGACGUUUAAAGUGGCUCCUUACACCUUACAAAGGAAUGGCUGAUGAGAAACAACUCGAUCCGCUCAGCGUUCUAUUGGAAUGCAACGGACGUGAUUGCAAGCUUUUGUUUUGAGUUGCGGUUUUACAUAAACACUCUACAAUCUGCAAACUUCAAUGAUCUGAAGUAGAAAACCUACAUGCUACAGUGAGAUAUUGUGGAUAAACUUAAGCGACCGCUCCAACAUUGUGUUUUUUUAAAACUGAUGAAGGUUGCGGCAAUAACAGGUCUGUGAUGCCCUUCGAUGUCCUGGGCUGCACACGUGCUACAAUGGCUAGCGCAGUGAGCAUAUUUCAACCGAAACAUCGGUUGGCUGUUCUGAUUGACCCCUUCUGGUCUCUCUGUAACGCUACCGAUGAUCCCUCCUCUGAAAAGAGAGGGUAAGCCGUUCGAAAUUCUGGUAACGAUUCCCCGUAGUUAAGCAAACUUAAACCAUAGUGGUGUCAAACGGUCCGCUUCCAUCGGAAAAGAUUCCUCCGGAAAAAGGCUUAUGCAGGCAUUUCACGUAUGCUCCUAUAAAUUCCUGGUAGGGAUAGUCUAUUGUAACUGGUAGACUUGUCAACUAGGAAUGCCUUGUACGGGUGGGGUAGCACAUUCCACCCGGGAUACGUCCCUGCCUUUUGUACACACCGCCCGUCGCUCUUACCAAUUGAACAGCACUACGAGUUUAAAGGCCCGAGAAAUUGGAAAUUUAGUCAAACAGUGCUGUUUAAAGGAAAGAGAAGUCGUAACAAGGCAUCGGUAGGUGAACCU